GUGAGGAAUAUUGGACAAUGGGCGCAAGCCUGAUCUAGCCAUGCCGCGUGCAGGAAGACGCAUCUAUGGUGUGUAAACUGCUUUUGUACGGGAAGAAACACUCCCUCGUGAGGGAGCUUGACGGUACCGUAAGAAUAAGGAUCGGCUAACUCCGUGCCAGCAGCCGCGGUAAUACGGAGGAUCCAAGCGUUAUCCGGAAUCAUUGGGUUUAAAGGGUCCGUAGGCGGUUUAAUAAGUCAGUGGUGAAAGCCCAUCGCUCAACGAUGGAACGGCCAUUGAUACUGUUAGACUUGAAUUACAAGGAAGUAACUAGAAUAUGUAGUGUAGCGGUGAAAUGCUUAGAUAUUACAUGGAAUACCAAUUGCGAAGGCAGGUUACUACUUGUGGAUUGACGCUGAUGGACGAAAGCGUGGGGAGCGAACAGGAUUAGAAACCCGGGUAGUCC
rnacentral:rRNA from 1 species